CUACGGGGGGCUCCAGGCGCGAAACCUUUACAAUGCACGAAAGUGUGAUAAGGGGAUCCAAAGUGCUCAAGCUUUGCUUGGGCUUUUGCCAAAAAUAGGUAUUUUGGCGAAUAAGUGGUGGGCAAGACUGGUGCCAGCCGCCGCGGUAACACCAGCGCCACAAGUGGCAGCCACGAUUAUUGGGCCUAAAGCGUUCGUAGCCGGCCUGAUAAAUCUUCUGUGAAAUUGUGUAGCUUAGCUAUACAGCGUGCAGAAGACACUGUCAGGCUAGAGACCGGGAGGAGCUAGAAGUAUUCUUGGGGGAGCGGUAAAAUGUUGUAAUCCCAAGAAGACUACCUGUGGCGAAGGCGUCUAGCUAGAACGGAUCUGACGGUGAGGGACGAAAGCCAGGGGAGCGAUCCGGAUUAGAUACCCGCGUAGUC
rnacentral:rRNA from 1 species